CCUACGGGUGACAGCAGUGGGGGAUAUUGCACAAUGGGGGGAACCCUGAUGCAGCGACGCCGCGUGGGUGAAGAAGCGCCUCGGCGCGUAAAGCCCUGUCAGCAGGGAAGAAAAUGACGGUACCUGACGAAGAAGCCCCGGCUAACUACGUGCCAGCAGCCGCGGUAAUACGUAGGGGGCAAGCGUUCUCCGGAUUUACUGGGUGUAAAGGGGGCGCAGACGGCGAUGCAAGCCAGGCGUGAAAGCCCGGGGCCCAACCCCGGGACUGCUCGUGGAACUGCGUGGCUGGAGUGCAGGAGGGGCAGGCGGAAUUCCUGGUGUAGCGGCGAAAUGCGUAGAUAUCAGGAGGAACACCGGUGGCGAAGGCGGCCUGCUGGACUGCAACUGACGUUGAGGCCCGAAAGCGUGGGGAGCAAACAGGAUUAGAUACCCCAGUAGUC
rnacentral:rRNA from 1 species